rnacentral:rRNA from 1 species
UACGUAGGGUGCGAGCGUUGUCCGGAAUUAUUGGGCGUAAAGAGCUCGUAGGCGGUGUGUCACGUCGGCCGUGAAAACCUGCAGCUUAACUGUGGGCGUGCGGUCGAUACGGGCAUCACUGGAGUUCGGCAGGGGAGACUGGAAUUCCUGGUGUAGCGGUGAAAUGCGCAGAUAUCAGGAGGAACACCGGUGGCGAAGGCGGGUCUCUGGGCCGAUACUGACGCUGAGGCGCGAAAGCUAGGGGAGCAAACAGG